AACGGGGAUUGCCUCAGUAACGGCGAGUGAAGCGGCAACAGCUCAAAUUUGAAAUCUGGCGCCCCUGGCGCCCGAGUUGUAAUUUGCAGAGGAUGCCUCGGUGCGAGGCCGCGCCCAAGUCCCUUGGAACAGGGCGCCUCAGAGGGUGAGAGUCCCGUUGGGCCGCGGCCGACCUCCGUGUGAGGCUCCUUCGACGAGUCGAGUUGUUUGGGAAUGCAGCUCUAAGCGGGAGGUAAAUUUCUCCUAAGGCUAAAUACCGGCCAGAGACCGAUAGCGCACAAGUAGAGUGAUCGAAAGAUGAAAAGCACUUUGGAAAGAGAGUUAAAAAGCACGUGAAAUUGUUGAAAGGGAAGCGCUUGCGGCCAGACUUGCCGCGGCGGUUCGGCCGGGUGCUCCACCCGGCUUACUCCGCCGCGUCGGGCCAGCAUCAGCUUGGGCGGUCGGACAAAGGCCUGGGGAACGUAGCUCCCUCCGGGGAGUGUUAUAGCCCCUCGCGCAAUGCGGCCUGCCCGGGCUGAGGCUCGCGUUCUGCUAGGAUGCUGGCGUAAUGGCCGCAAGCGGCCCGUCUUGAAACACGGACCAAGGAGUCUACCAUCUGUGCGAGUGUUUGGGUGUCAAACCCGUGCGCGUAAUGAAAGUGAACGGAGGCGGGAGCCCCCGGGCGCACCGUCGACCGAUCCUGAUGUCUUCGGAUGGAUUUGAGUAAGAGCACAGCUGGUGGGACCCGAAAGAUGGUGAACUAUGCGUAAACAGGGCGAAGCCAGAGGAAACUCUGGUGGAGGCUCGCAGCGGUUCUGACGUGCAAAUCGAUCGUCAAAUUCGCGCAUAGGGGCGAAAGACUAAUCGAA
rnacentral:rRNA from 1 species